CCUACGGGGGGCUGCAGUGAGGAAUAUUGGUCAAUGGGAGCAAUCCUGAACCAGCAAUGCCGCGUGUGGGAUGACAGGGCUUCGCCUUGUAAACCACUGUCGGACGGGACGAAAGGGACCCUCGGGGUCCUGGGACGGUACCGUCAAAGGAAGGGUCGGCUAACUACGUGCCAGCAGCCGCGGUAAUACGUAGGACCCAAGCGUUGUCCGGAAUUACUGGGUAUAAAGGGUGCGUAGGCGGCCGUGUGCGUCAGAGGUGAAAUAUCCGGGCUUAACCCGGAGGGUGCCUUUGAUACGGCAGGGCUUGAGUGCGAGAGAGGAUGAUGGAAUUCCUGGUGUAGCGGUGAAAUGCGUAGAUAUCAGGAGGAACACCGGUGGCGAAGGCGGUCAUCUGGCUCGUAACUGACGCUGAGGCACGAAAGCGCGGGGAUCAAACAGGAUUAGAUACCCAAGUAGUC
rnacentral:rRNA from 1 species